CCGUUCGGCUUGCAAGGGAUACUGUCGGCCUUGGGGCCGGGAGAGGUCGGAGGUACUUCGGGGGUAGCGGUGAAAUGCUGUAAUCCCCGGGGGACCACCAGUGGCGAAGGCGUCCGACUAGAACGGACCCGACGGUGAGGGGCGAAAGCUUGGGGAGCGAACGGGAUUAGAUACCCCGGUAGUCCAAGCUGUAAAGCAUGCGGGUCAGGUGUAGAGCGUCCUUAGAGGGCGCUCGGUGCCGUAGGGGAAGCCGUUAAGCCCGCCGCCUGGGAAGUACGGUCGCAAGGCUGAAACUUAAAGAAAUUGGCGGGGGAGCACCACAAGGGGUGGGACCUGCGGUUUAAUUGGAUUCAACGCCGGACAACUCACCAGGGGCGACAGCUGGUUGAAGGCCAGGUUGAUGACCUUGCCGGACUAGCUGAGAGGUGGUGCAUGGCCGUCGUCAGCUCGUACCGUGAGGCGUCCCCUCAAGUGAGGCAACGAGCGAGACCCUCGCCCUUAGUUGCCAUCGGAUCAAAUGCCGGGCACUCUAGGGGGACCGCUGGUGCUAAACCAGAGGAAGGAGAGGGCGACGGUAGGUCCGUAUGCCCCGAAUCCCCUGGGCUACACGCGGGUCACAAUGCGCAGGACAAUGGGAUGCGACCCUGUAAGGGGAGGCCAAGCCCCUAAACCUGCGCUCAGUUCGGAUCGAGGGCUGUAACUCGCCCUCGUGAAGUUGGA
rnacentral:rRNA from 1 species